rnacentral:sRNA from 1 species
AAAAUCUCAAAGAUUUUUAAAGAUUGGAAAUCUCAAAGAUUUUCAGUAUAUUUUAAAAUCAUUGAUUUUAAAAACACACCUGCGGAUGCUUCCCAAGUCCGCAGCACUGCAAAUUCUACUUUAAACAGAGAGGAAACUCUGAGUGUGGAUGAUAUGAUAUGGAAAUGAGUUGUAACAACCCCGAUGGGAACCAAUCCUCUGGCAGAAG